rnacentral:lncRNA from 1 species
CUGUGCUUCUGAGCAUGUUCCAAAACAUGGUGGAAUGCAACGCUCUGACGUAGAUUCCCAUUUUCUAUAUGAGAGUUGGUCCCCCAUGUUCAAGACAAGGUUACGGCCUUGCUCUUAAAUGACUAUUUGAUCAAUUAUUUUAUAUUAUAAUGUGCUGUCUUAGUGCAAGUCUAUUGUGUGUGUGUUGUUUGGCAGCGUGACUCCUUUUGUGGUGACAACGGGAAAGAUGACAGUACAGACUCUGAGUCAGUAACUGAGAUAACACCUCUAGAACAUUGCCACAGGACCACUGAAUUAUGUUCCCCACCUAUUGCUGAGCCUGUUCCUACACAACCUUCUACAUUACUCUCAUACUCAACAGUGCCUUGCAGUUCAUGGGCAACUACACCAUCCACUUCACCAGGGCAUUCUCUUGAACAGGCUUCAACAUCUUCAGCUCCAAAUACAGUGAACUAUGAGAUAACAAGCCAUGAUGAUUACAGUGCCUAUCUGUCAGUGAUGACCUCCUUCUCAGACUUUUCAUCAGAUGAUGAAGAUCUUAACCAGGCAAUUCUUGCCAGCAUUGAAACACAUCGAAACUUUGAGGAAGUUCCUGUUAAGAAUAUUCUUUUGGACCUGGCCUCCAACAUAAACUACAAUUCACACUGCAGGUUUAACAUAAACUGCUCAGCAGUGCUUGAAGGAGCUAUUCGAGGUUUUACCCGAAUCAACUAUAACCCCUGAAAUGCAAUCUCAGUUAAAUUCUCAGAUGACACUGGGAGGCAUGAGGAAGCAGUGGACUUAGGGGGACCACGCAGAGAGUUUUUAAGGCUCCUCAUGCAAGCCUUAAAAGACAGUUCAAUGUUCGAAGGCAAUGAGCAAUCACAAAAUCUUGCUCUUGAUAGUUGUGGUAUGUUUUUUUUUCCUUUUUUACUAUUGAUAAAAAAAAAAUCAUGUCAAUUACUAAAAAUGCAUUACUUGACUCUUCUUGACAUGAUAUACUGCCAUUGAGUUAGUAGGUG